rnacentral:rRNA from 1 species
CUCGACUCCAUGAAGUCGGAAUCGCUAGUAAUCGCAAAUCAGAAUGUUGCGGUGAAUACGUUCCCGGGCCUUGUACACACCGCCCGUCACACCAUGGGAGUGGGUUGUACCAGAAGUAGAUAGCUUAACCUUCGGGGGGGCGUUUACCACGGUAUGAUUCAUGACUGGGGUGAAGUCGUAACAAGGUAACCGUAGGGGAACCUGCGGUUGGAUCACCUCCUUACCUAAAAUGAAGC